GUAGGUGGCAAGCGUUGUCCGGAAUUAUUGGGCGUAAAGCGCGCGCAGGCGGUCCUUUAAGUCUGAUGUGAAAGCCCACGGCUCAACUGUGGAGGGUCAUUGGAAACUGGGGGACUUGAGUACAGAAGAGGAAAGCGGAAUUCCAAGUGUAGCGGUGAAAUGCGUAGAGAUUUGGAGGAACACCAGUGGCGAAGGCGGCUUUCUGGUCUGUAACUGACGCUGAGGCGCGAAAGCGUGGGGAGCAAACAGGGAUUAGAUACCCUGGUAGUCCACGCCGUAAACGAUGAGUGCUAAGUGUUAGGGGGUUUCCGCCCCCUUAGUGCUGCAGCUAACGCAUUAAGCACUCCGCCUGGGGAUACGGCCGCAAGGCUG
rnacentral:rRNA from 1 species